rnacentral:rRNA from 1 species
UACGAAGGGUCCAAGCGUUGUCGUAGUACAUGGGCGUAAAGGGUGCGUAGGCGGGUCUUUAAGUCAGGGGUGAAAUCCUGGAGCUCAACUCCAGAACUGCCUUUGAUACUGAGGAUCUUGAGUUCGGGAGAGGUGAGUGGAACUGCGAGUGUAGAGGUGAAAUUCGUAGAUAUUCGCAAGAACACCAGUGGCGAAGGCGGCUCACUGGCCCGAUACUGACGCUGAGGCACGAAAGUGUGGGGAUCAAACAGG